rnacentral:rRNA from 1 species
AUGGUCUACUACCCUGAUGGUUGCGACGCCCCAGAUGGUGGCAGCGAUUGGAUAUCCGUCGGUCUAGUUCUUCGUCACACCGCUGCCACGGAUUUCAAGAUAAGAUGCACCUUUAGCUUACUGGACCAUGCGGGAAAACCGAUGCCGAGAUACACGACAUCAUGUCAGACACGGACAUGCUUUCACAAAGGAGACGGGAUCGCGUCUCCAACAUUCAUCAAAAAGGAGGAAUUGGAGGAGUCCCCAUCUCUUAUUGGCGAUUGUUUCAGUGUCAAGUGUGAUGUCACCGUCACCAAGUUCCGCAUGGAGUACACAGCGCGACAGUUCGUCAUGGUACCAACCUCCAACAUACAUGAACAAUUUAGCCGCAUCCUUGUAACCGCCGAGGUGGCGGAUGUGAUUUUCGAGGUCUCUUGUGAGACGUUUGCUGCACACCGGUGCUUGCUCGCUCCUCGCUCCUCGGUAUUUAUGGAGCAGUUCCUUCAGAAUGUCCAACCACGCGUGCGGAUCAAUGACAUGAACCCCAGGGUUUUUCGGGCAUUGCUUCACUUUAUCUACACCGACUUCGUGCCCGAGGUAGAUGAUGAUGAAACCAUGGAGAUGGCUCAAGCUUUAUUUGUCGCCGCAGAUAGAUAUAACCUUCAGAAGCUCAAGUUGGUCUGUGAGAAGACAUUGUGCAACUGCAUUGACACAAGCAUGGUGGCAACUGCACUGUUGUUUGCUGAGAAACAUGGUUGCGUUGAGCUCAAGAAGGCAUGCCUGAAGCUGCUCUCGUCCUUUCAAAACCUAAAGGCAAUCAGAGAGACUGAUGACUUCAAGAACCUGAAGGCCGCUCAUCCAAAUAUUCUAGAGGAGUUAGUUGCCAAUGUUAACACUCCUUGA